UUAAUGAAAACGUACUGAAAUCAAAUUCACUUUAUACGUCUGUCGAUUACUCGUAUAAUACCAUCGGUGCCGUUGGGUUUUAGAAACUUCUGGUGUACUCGAAACGUUUAAUCUCGUUUGUUUUGUUUUUUUAAACACACCGCGGGAGUUUACACAACGGUCGUAUUACGCCGUGUACACAUAAAAUUGGAAGUGUUCCCUGAAAACCGAUUCUCCGGGUUCUCGGCGGC